rnacentral:rRNA from 1 species
CCAGACUCCUACGGGAGGCAGCAGCGAGGAAUAUUGGUCAAUGGGCUUACGCCUGAACCAGCCAAGUCGCGUGAGGGAAGACUGCCCUAUGGGUUGUAAACCUCUUUUGUCGGGGAGCAAAUUCCGUUACGUGUAACGGAGUCGAGAGUACCCGAAGAAAAAGCAUCGGCUAACUCCGUGCCAGCAGCCGCGGUAAUACGGAGGAUGCGAGCGUUAUCCGGAUUUAUUGGGUUUAAAGGGUGCGCAGGCGGCGAGUUAAGUCAGCGGUAAAAUUUCGGGGCUCAACCCCGACAGGCCGUUGAAACUGGCUUGCUAGAGUGGGCGAGAAGUAUGCGGAAUGCGUGGUGUAGCGGUGAAAUGCAUAGAUAUCACGCAGAACUCCGAUUGCGAAGGCAGCAUACCGGCGCCCAACUGACGCUCAGGCACGAAAGCGUGGGUAUCGAACAGGAUUAGAUACCCCGGUAGAC